UAGACAAGUAGGUCGCGGCGCAGUUCUCGCGACGCGAGCUCGCGUGCGCGAGACCGCGACGCUUGUGUCCGUGUGCACAGCUAGGCGAGCGGACGCCGAGCGAAGCGUGUCGCUGCGAGUGUGACCGUGCUCCAACACCAUCGCACACGAACGCGUCCACUCUGGAGAAUAAUUAACUCCCGGACGACGAACCAUGGAGAGAGCCCCAAUUUCAUUCUUCCAUCCGUUUGUUCAAAAAUAAAUUCAAGAUCAACAGGGAUCAUUAAUGAUAUUAUAAUUGAACUUUUUAAUACAAUGCUUGUUCAUUUGUGUCCGAGAAGUAAAAAAAAAAAGAAAACUGCGCAAUCUAAGGUGAAAUAAAGUUACCAUUCCCUUAUGAUUAA